GGGCCCGCACAAGCGGUGGAGUAUGUGGUUUAAUUCGAUGAUACGCGAGAAACCUUACCUGGUCUUGACAUGUUAGAAAUGAUCGAGAGAUUGGUUAGUGCCUGCUUGCAGGAAUCUAAACACAGGUGGUGCAUGGUUGUCGUCAGCUCGUGUCGUGAGAUGUUGGGUUAAGUCCCGCAACGAGCGCAACCCUUGUUUCUAGUUGCCAGCACGUCAUGGUGGAACUCUAGAGAGACUGCCGGUGAUAAACCGGAGGAAGGUGGGGAUGACGUCAAAUCAUCACGCCCCUUACGACCAGGGCCACACACGUACUACAAUGCCCGGUACAGCGAGUUGCGAAGCAGCGAUGCGGAGCUAAUCUCAAAACCGGGCCAAGUUCAGAUUGGAGGCUGCAAUUCGCCUCCAUGAAGCUGGAGUUGCUAGUAAUCGCGGAUCAGCACGCCG
rnacentral:rRNA from 1 species